rnacentral:piRNA from 1 species
UUGGGAAUCAAACUCGGACUUGGCA